GAUGGAUCAUGACGAACGAAUGUUGUUAUUUCCAAUGUGAUUUCAUUCAUCGAUGAGGAGGCAACGUCAGUUCCUUCACUCUGACGUGGCUCCGAGCUGGCUUUUCCGUGGACUCAAGUUACCAUUAAUUGAGCACUUAGUAACAGAGUGUUGUAGAUGGAUGACGAACUUGUAUUUCAUCCAAUUUUAAUAUUAAACCAUUCUUU
rnacentral:lncRNA from 1 species